rnacentral:rRNA from 1 species
UACGUAGGGAGCGAGCGUUGUCCGGAUUUAUUGGGCGUAAAGAGCUCGUAGGCGGUUUGGUAAGUCGGGUGUGAAAGCUCCGGGCUCAACUCGGAGAGGUCACUCGAUACUGCCAUGACUGGAGUCCGGUAGGGGGGUGUGGAAUUCCACGUGUAGCAGUGAAAUGCGUAGAGAUGUGGAGGAACACCGAUGGCGAAGGCAGCCCCCUGGGCUAACACUGACGCUCAUGCACGAAAGCGUGGGGAGCAAACAGG